rnacentral:tRNA from 1 species
GCGGACUUGGCCGAUUGGUCAGGCAUCGGUCUUCCACGCCGCCCAGGCCGGUUCGAUCCCGACAGGCAGUU